rnacentral:sRNA from 2 species
ACAACCGUAUUUCAAAAGGGCUUAAUGACUUAUCGGCACGCACGCUUGCGCUCCUUACGGGAAUGGCAAAAAAUGCAUUGUACCUGCUUUAUAGCAAAAAUAGCGCACUGGCGGACGGAACACAUUAUCCGUCCGCUCUUUUCA